AGUUUGAUCCUGGCUCAGGAUGAACGCUAGCUACAGGCUUAACACAUGCAAGUCGAGGGGCAGCAUUGGAGUAGCAAUACUACAGAUGGCGACCGGCGCACGGGUGAGUAACACGUAUCCAACCUGCCGCUUACUCGGGGAUAGCCUUUCGAAAGAAAGAUUAAUACCCGAUGGUAUAAAGAGUUCGCAUGUUCUCUUUAUUAAAGAAUUUCGGUAAGCGAUGGGGAUGCGUUCCAUUAGAUUGUUGGCGGGGUAACGGCCCACCAAGUCUACGAUGGAUAGGGGUUCUGAGAGGAAGGUCCCCCACAUUGGAACUGAGACACGGUCCAAAUCCUACGGGAGGCAGCAGUGAGGAAUAUUGGUCAAUGGACGAGAGACUGAACCAGCCAAGUAGCGUGAAGGAUGACUGCCCUAUGGGUUGUAAACUUCUUUUAUAAGGGAAUAAAGUGAGGGACGUGUCCCUUUUUGUAUGUACCUUAUGAAUAAGGAUCGGCUAACUCCGUGCCAGCAGCCGCGGUAAUACGGAGGAUCCAAGCGUUAUCCGGAUUUAUUGGGUUUAAAGGGAGCGUAGGUUGACAUAUAAGUCAGCUGUGAAAGUUUACGGCUCAACCGUGAAAUUGCAGUUGAUACUGUAUGUCUUGAGUGUACAAGAGGUGGGCGGAAUUCGUGGUGUAGCGGUGAAAUGCUUAGAUAUCACGAAGAACUCCAAUUGCGAAGGCAGCUCACUGGGGUACAACUGACACUGAGGCUCGAAAGUGUGGGUAUCAAACAGGAUUAGAUACCCUGGUAGUCCACACAGUAAACGAUGAAUACUCGCUGUUUGCGAUAUACAGUAAGCGGCCAAGCGAAAGCAUUAAGUAUUCCACCUGGGGAGUACGCCGGCAACGGUGAAACUCAAAGGAAUUGACGGGGGCCCGCACAAGCGGAGGAACAUGUGGUUUAAUUCGAUGAUACGCGAGGAACCUUACCCGGGCUUGAAUUGCAGAGGAAUAUAGUUGAAAGAUUAUCGCCGCAAGGUCUCUGUGAAGGUGCUGCAUGGUUGUCGUCAGCUCGUGCCGUGAGGUGUCGGCUUAAGUGCCAUAACGAGCGCAACCCUUAUCAUUAGUUACUAACAGGUCAUGCUGAGGACUCUAGUGAGACUGCCGUCGUAA
rnacentral:rRNA from 1 species